AUCUUGGCUUACUGCAAGCUCAGCCUCCUGGGUUCACGCCAUUCUCCUGCCUCAGCCUCCCGAGUAGCUGGGACUACAGGCACCCGCCACCAUGCCCAGCUAAUUUUUUGUAUUUUUAGUAGAGACGGGGUUUCACCGUAUUAGCCAGGAUGGUCUCAAUCUCCUGACCUCAUGAUCUGCCCACCUCGCCCUCCCAAAGUGCUGAGAUUACAGGCAUGAGCCACUGCACCAGGCCAUUCUGAGAGGGUACUAAUCUCAUUCAUGGGGGCUGCACCUUCAUGACCUAAUUACCUCCCAAAAGCCCCACCUCCAAAAUCAUCACAAUGGGAUUAGGGUUUCAACAUAUGAAUUUGUGGGGGAACAUAUUCAGUCUGCUGCACUGGCUGAGUGUCCUCAUAACAUGGCAGAUGGCUUCCUUCAGAAUGAAUGAUCCAAGAGAAAAGUAGUGAGAAAGAUCAAGACAGAAGCCAAAGUAUCUUUUAUAACAAUCUCUGGAGUGGCAUAUCAUUAAUUCUGCCAUAUUCUCUUGGUUACAUAAAUCACCCUGGUACAGUGUGAGAAGGAACUACACAAGCAACCCCGAGAGCACAUCACAGUAUGGAGAAAACAUAAGAUCAAAGAAGCAUGCAACACUGAGCUAUCACACGGAGAACACCUGUCUGGGAAGC
rnacentral:lncRNA from 1 species